GCCAGGAGUGGUGGGUCAAGCCUGUAAUCCCAGCAGCUCGGGAGGCUGAGGCAGGAGGAUCACGAGUUUGAAAGAAGCCUCAGCAAAAGCGAGGCGCUAAGCCACUCAGUGAGACCCUGUCUCUA
rnacentral:sRNA from 1 species